rnacentral:rRNA from 1 species
GAUGAACGCUGGCGGCGUGCCUAAUACAUGCAAGUCGGGCGAACAGACGAGGAGCUUGCUCCUCUGACGUUAGCGGCGGACGGGUGAGUAACACGUGGAUAACCUACCUAUAAGACUGGGAUAACUUCGGGAAACCGGAGCUAAUACCGGAUAAUAUAUUGAACCGCAUGGUUCAAUAGUGAAAGACGGUUUUGCUGUCACUUAUAGAUGGAUCCGCGCCGCAUUAGCUAGUUGGUAAGGUAACGGCUUACCAAGGCAACGAUGCGUAGCCGACCUGAGAGGGUGAUCGGCCACACUGGAACUGAGACACGGUCCAGACUCCUACGGGAGGCAGCAGUAGGGAAUCUUCCGCAAUGGGCGAAAGCCUGACGGAGCAACGCCGCGUGAGUGAUGAAGGUCUUCGGAUCGUAAAACUCUGUUAUUAGGGAAGAACAAAUGUGUAAGUAACUAUGCACGUCUUGACGGUUCCUAAUCAGAAAGCCACGGCUAACUACGUG